CACGGGGAAGCUGAGGCUCAGGGCAGAGGGGGCUGUGCGGGCCCAGGACCCGAGUGCAGGCAGGUGAGCGUGCCCCCACUGUGCAGGGUACCCCCCCAUAGGACAAGGGCCACCCCGGGCAGCUGGAGUGGGGCAGCAGCCCUGUCUGGUGAGGAGGGCGUCUGGGAGGGUCCUGGCCUGCGAGGGGACGUGGUCCUGGGACCCAGCCUCUGGUUUCCUUCCAGGGACCCUCCCCAGACCCAGCCUCCGGGCUGAGCCAGGCUCUGUGAUCGCCCUGGGCAGGCCUGGGGCCCUGUGGUGUUGGGGACCCUGGAGGCCCAGGAGUGCCGUCUGUAUAGAGAGGGAAUCCCAGAGCCCUGGGACACACAGAUGCCACUGGAGCCCGGAAACAAGGCCACGUUCCCCACCCUCUCAUGGCUGAGGUGUACACGGGGCGCUACCGCUGUGUCUGCCUCAGCGCUGCUGGCUGCUCAGAGCCCAGUGCCGCCCUGGAGCUGGGGUGACAGUGAGGAAGCCACACCUGAGCAGGAGCUGGAAGGAUGCACGUGGAGGCCUCGAGGGGUGCAGGAACACAGGGUUCGUGAGUGUACCCCAGGAUCAGGCCAGCUGGAGCGAGAGAAAGAGGUGAGUACAGGGGCACAACACACACGCCAUAGAGAAAACCCUCCAUGGGGGCCUCAGCCAUCCAGGUCAUCCAGGGGAGGGGAGCACGCAACCUACAGGCCACGGGAGACCAGGAAGUCCCGUGGUCAGGCCCUGCCACGGCAGCCACAGGCGACU